CACAACGGAGCAAGACUGACAGACUGAACGUGGACAGCUCCUCAGAAGGAUGCAAGACUGAUGGAGGCAAAGAAUUACACACUGUUUGAGUCUCUGUGUGACACUGUUCUAUCAUCACUGGCAUUACUGCAAAACUGUAUCACUGAGCUUUUGGAAUUUAAAGAUCAACUGAUGAACCAUGCCCUUCCCACCAGCCUCCUAGCCCAUUUGGUCAUUAUUAAAGGCCAGCGUUUCCGCAGGAAAAAGCAUCAGCUGGGUGUGGCAGUGAGACAACUACAGCUACUUGAUGGACAUCUAAGUUUCUGCUUCAAGAUCAUUACUUUUGUGGGGCCUGGCUUUGAUAGACAAUGGCAAAUCAAGAUUGUAAUGAAUCCCAUGGAGACCAAAUGUGAAAGAACCAAACUUUUCAAAGGACCCCAAUGGGAAAAAAAAGCAAGAUUUCACGUUUUUAUUGUUUUACUGUAACCAAGGUUAGAUGGAUUGCUUGGGAAUGUCAGAUAUUGAACUGGGAGAAGUUGUUUGGAAAGUUGAUGGUAUGCGAUUUUGACAUUCCGCGGAGCACAGUCAGACAGAGAAGCGUGUUCCUGCUUGUUCACUUUCUCUGCAGUUUCCAUUGGAGGGUGAGACUGCUGUUUUAAAGAUAGACACUGUUGAUAGAGAAGCACAAACUGAGGGACAGACAGAGGAGCAAGGAAUCUGGACCGGUGACCCUCUCCAUCACAGAUAUGCCUGCCACUGGGCCUACACCUGAAAUAUUAAAAACAUCAGAAGUGACCAAGAGUGACUUUGCAAAGUCAGCCUUGGAGUCUGUACUGACUAGGUUCGUUUUUCAGAGACCCUCACAGACUUGAUGCAAGAGCAAGACACUGACCUGGUUACAAAAACACAAUCCUUUAUUAUUAAGCGAGUAUAAGCUGCGGAGAAACGCUGUACGCAAUCCGGCACAGAGUGCUGAGUAUCGUGAGCGAUUCUGUCCGAACAGUCGACAGUCCCCACUUUUAUACCCUUGGAAUUGGCAGAAACAUGAAACAAUUACUACAUCUGAAACAUCACGAAUAUGUGGUCAUGCCGCUAUAAUGAGAACAGAAUACAGCUUUGAUCGUCACGAAGUAUAUGAUGGCGACAGGAUGCGACAACUGCCUGGCUUGAUCGAAGGUCACUAACCUGGCCAUUUCAGCAGAAACAGGGGGUCUCAAGGACACUAUGUGCUGACCACUUCCUGAUGGACUUGCGAUCAAACUUGCUUUUCUCUGCAAAUUUCUCCAUGAAGGACAGGUCAUAUGGACUGGUCCAAUGAUGUGGAGUAUUCCAUGGCAAUGAGGUCAGACCCAUCCUUCGCGACACCGGGGACAGGUAGAACCUCAGUACAAAGUGAGACUUACUGUUUACAUACUGAGCGUCUACACAUAACUUGAUGCAGCCACACACAAAGGUGGCACAGGGUACAUUCUUCCCCCCCACUUACCCAGAGCUUUGUACAUGGUGUCCCUGUCAACACGGUCCAUCUCAGACCUCCAGAUGAAAUGGAAGAUAGUUUGGGUGAUUGCAACAGAUCAGGUAGUCACAUUCUAAUUAUUUCUCAUCAAUUGUACCAAGAUCUGGCUCUUGUUGUUUCACACACUCUGUGCUUGCCUGCCCUGUUGUAGAUUUCUCUCUCACUGCGCCCACAGUACUGCAAGAAAGCAACAGAAGAAGAGCGUGAGUGAGACCCUGCUGCUGAAGAGGAAAUUUCCACAGGAUAUAAGCGAGGAGUUUGGGAGAGAAUAAAAGUGCUGGAGGAAAACAUGUGGAGAAAUAAACAAGAUAUGAUUGAAAAGCUUCAGUGUGAGACUCAUCAGAACCUUGAAAAGCAGCUUUUGGUUCAGAAAAGUCUUCACCCGUACUCAGACAACAGAGAAAAUAGCAACUGAAGCAAAGUAGAUGAAAUCUGUUUCCCAGCACUGUUCAUGCCAAUGAAGACUGGACAAGUAUUUACUCCAAAGGCUUGCUUGUACUUUCAUCCAUCAGGAUCAGCAGGCUUCUUCCGUCUAACCCAGGCACCAUCAGUGAUCAGCCUCUCCACUCUGUGCAGCAGCAAUAAGGUGUCCAUCUUGAACAUCCUGAACCCAAAAGGACCUUUGCCAAUAACCCCAGCUAAUGAGAGUAACUACGCAUCCACAGAAAAUGAGAUGAUGGUCAACAAACUGGUAUCUGAUCCAGCCCCCCUAAAUCACGUAUGGACAGGCAGCGAGGGCAGGCCAGAGGAUUAAAUCAGACUUUCAUUAAAUCUGAUUUCCUUUCUCACUCCUUUCAAAGAUGCUGAUUCUUUCUAGGGUACAGAUUCCAUGAGUACUUGCAACUUAUUGAUACUAUACAUUUUCUUUUAUUAUUACAGUGCAAGUCUAAACAGUGAGUGUCAGGCUGUUUAGCAGAGGACAGCAUCACAGUUAGAUUUCAUCCUGUUUUCACCUGAUAGUGCUAUGCAUAUACAUUGAUGAAGAAAUCCUGAGCGGGAACUAUGGCUGGUUUGUUUUCCCCUUAAUUCCUU